rnacentral:rRNA from 1 species
UACGUAGGGUCCGAGCGUUGUCCGGAAUUAUUGGGCGUAAAGGGCUCGUAGGCGGUUUGUCGCGUCGGGUGUGAAAACUCAGGGCUCAACCCUGAGCGUGCUUCCGAUACGGGCAGACUAGAGGUAUGCAGGGGAGAACGGAAUUCCUGGUGUAGCGGUGGAAUGCGCAGAUAUCAGGAGGAACACCGGUGGCGAAGGCGGUUCUCUGGGCAUUACCUGACGCUGAGGAGCGAAAGCAUGGGGAGCGAACAGG